rnacentral:rRNA from 1 species
AGAGGAAGUAAAAGUCGUAACAAGGUUUCCGUAGGUGAACCUGCGGAAGGAUCAUUAAUGAAACUUCAAAGUCGGCCAAAGGUUGUUGCUGGUGAUUAUUCACAUGUGCACACCUUUGGUCGCAAAUCCACACACACCUGUGCAUCUACGACUCGAGGUUGUAAUGACUGAGAGUAACUUUUACACACUCUUGUAUGUAAUGGAAUGUCUUUUUGUGCUAUAAUGUACAAUAUAAACAACUUUCAACAACGGAUCUCUUGGCUCUCGCAUCGAUGAAGAACGCAGCGAAAUGCGAUAAGUAAUGUGAAUUGCAGAAUUCAGUGAAUCAUCGAAUCUUUGAACGCACCUUGCACCCUUUGGUAUUCCGAAGGGUACGCCCGUUUGAGUGUCAUUGUAAUCUCACUUCUACAACUUUAUUGUUGUUUGAAUGUGGACUUGGAUGUUGCYGUUUUAUCACGGCUCGUCUUAAAUGCCUSAGUGUACCCUGUUUUGCAGCGUAUCCAGUGUAAUAAACAUUUCACUAGAGUUGGUYGAAAGRCCRCGUUGACUAUAUGGGCUCUAUGCUUCAAACCGUCUGCCAUGUGGACAAUUUCUUGACAAUUUGACCUCAAAUCGGGUGGGACUACCCGCUGAACUUAAGCAUAUCAAUAAGCGGAGGAAAAGAAACUAACAAGGAUUCCCCUAGUAACGGCGAGUGAAGAGGGAAAAGCUCAAAUUUUAAAUCUGGUGUCUUUGACUCCCGAGUUGUAAUCUAGAGAAGUGUUUUCCGUGUCGGACCGUGUACAAGUUCCCUGGAACGGGGCGUCAUAGAGGGUGAGAAUCCCGUAUAUGCCACGGACUACCGAUGCUCUGUGAUACACUCUCAACGAGUCGAGUUGUUUGGGAAUGCAGCUCAAAAUGGGUGGUAAAUUCCAUCUAAAGCUAAAUAUUGGCGAGAGACCGAUAGCGAACAAGUACCGUGAGGGAAAGAUGAAAAGCACUUUGGAAAGAGAGUGAAACAGUACGUGAAAUUGUUGAAAGGGAAGCGUUUGAAGUCAGUCGCAUCUGUUGGGGUUCAGCCUGGCUUUUGCCUGGUGUAUUUCCUUUCCGAUGGGUCAGCAUCAGUUUCGACCGAGGGAAAAAGACAUUUGGAAUGUGGCUGUCUUCGGGCAGUGUUAUAGCCUUGUGUUGUAUGUCUCGGUUGGGACUGAGGAUUGCAGCGCGCCAUAAAUGGCCGGGGGUCGCUCCUCUCGACACGCGCUUA